rnacentral:rRNA from 1 species
UAUCUCUGUAGAGUCUGCAUAUCAAUAAGCGGAGGAAAAGAAACUAACUAGGAUUCCCUCAGUAACGGCGAGUGGAGCGGGAAGAGCUCAAAUUUGAAAUCUUCAAGGUUCUACCUUGACGAAUUGUAGUUUAAAGAAGUGUUUUCUGUUGAAGUUUCGGUAAAAGUUCUUUGGAAUAGGACAUCAUAGAGGGUGAGAAUCCCGUAUUUGACCGUUAUUUUCAGCUGUGUGAUACACUUUCAAAGAGUCGGAUUGUUUGGGAAUGCAGUCCAAAAUGGGUGGUAAAUUUCAUCUAAAGCUAAAUAUUGGCGAGAGACCGAUAGCGAACAAGUACCGUGAGGGAAAGAUGAAAAGAACUUUGAAAAGAGAGUUAAACAGUACGUGAAAUUGUCAAAAGGGAAGCGUUUGACACCAGUGUUGUUUCUACGAAAAUCAAUUUAUGAUGGCUUGAUGCUAAGCUUUAAGACUUUAUCCGCUUGUUGUCUAGUUUCUCUUGUCUUUGUGAAUGCACUUUUCGUGGAACAAGUCAACAUCAAUUUCUUUUGUUGUAAAAGGGGUAAGAGGAAGGUGGCUUGCGCUUCGGCUGCAAGUGUUUAUAGCCUUUUAUCUCUGCAGUCGGAGAGAUUGAGGUCUGCAGCGUGGACUCUUCGGGGUUAGAUACGUCGGUGCUAAGCUAUAGCUUUUCAUAGACAACUUGUUGACUAUGUUUAGUCAUGUGGCUUACCCGCUGGCGCUAUUUUACCUACGCUUAGGAUGUUGAGUCAUCACACAUCUCU